GCGUGUGGGAUGAAGCCCCUUCGGGGUGUAAACCACUGUCAGGGUCUAGGAACACAAUGACCAUACCCAAAGGAAGCACCGGCUAACUCUGUGCCAGCAGCCGCGGUAAUACAAGAGGGUGCGAGCGUUAAUCGGAAUUACUGGGCUUAAAGGGUCCGUAGGCUGGGCUGUAGGCGUCGAGUGAAAUACCACGGCUCAACCGUGGAACUGCUCGGCGAACCACAGCUCUUGAGGCGAGCAGAGGCGAUCAGAACGAUAGGUGGAGCGGUGAAAUGCGUAGAUAUCUAUCGGAAUGCCGAAGGUGAAGACAGGUCGCUGGGCUCGUCCUGACGCUGAGGGACGAAAGCGUGGGGAGCAAACGGGAUUAGAUACCCCGGUAGUCCACGCCGUAAACAAUGCGCACUGGGUCGGAGGGGUUUGACGCCUUUCUGGCCGAAGCAAAAGUGUUAAGUGCGCCGCCUGGGGAGUACGGUCGCAAGG
rnacentral:rRNA from 1 species